rnacentral:rRNA from 1 species
UUGACCUCGGAUCAGGUAGGAAUACCCGCUGAACUUAAGCAUAUCAUAUAAGCGG